AUGAACGCUAGCGACAGGCUUAACACAUGCAAGUCGAGGGGCAGCACAGGUAGCAAUACCGGGUGGCGACCGGCGCACGGGUGAGUAACGCGUAUGCAACUUACCUAUCAGAGGGGGAUAACCCGGCGAAAGUCGGACUAAUACCGCAUGAAGCAGGGGCCCCGCAUGGGGAUAUUUGCUAAAGAUUCAUCGCUGAUAGAUAGGCAUGCGUUCCAUUAGGCAGUUGGCGGGGUAACGGCCCACCAAACCGACGAUGGAUAGGGGUUCUGAGAGGAAGGUCCCCCACAUUGGUACUGAGACACGGACCAAACUCCUACGGGAGGCAGCAGUGAGGAAUAUUGGUCAAUGGGCGUAAGCCUGAACCAGCCAAGUCGCGUGAGGGAUGAAGGUUCUAUGGAUCGUAAACCUCUUUUAUAAGGGAAUAAAGUGCGGGACGUGUCCCGUUUUGUAUGUACCUUAUGAAUAAGGAUCGGCUAACUCCGUGCCAGCAGCCGCGGUAAUACGGAGGAUCCGAGCGUUAUCCGGAUUUAUUGGGUUUAAAGGGUGCGUAGGCGGCCUUUUAAGUCAGCGGUGAAAGUCUGUGGCUCAACCAUAGAAUUGCCGUUGAAACUGGGGGGCUUGAGUAUGUUUGAGGCAGGCGGAAUGCGUGGUGUAGCGGUGAAAUGCAUAGAUAUCACGCAGAACCCCGAUUGCGAAGGCAGCCUGCCAAGCCAUGACUGACGCUGAUGCACGAAAGCGUGGGGAUCAAACAGGAUUAGAUACCCUGGUAGUCCACGCAGUAAACGAUGAUCACUAGCUGUUUGCGAUACACUGUAAGCGGCACAGCGAAAGCGUUAAGUGAUCCACCUGGGAGUACGCCGGCAACGGUGAAACUCAAAGGAAUUGACGGGGGCCCGCACAAGCGGAGGAACAUGUGGUUUAAUUCGAUGAUACGCGAGGAACCUUACCCGGGUUUGAACGCAUUCGGACCGAGGUGGAAGCACAUUUUCUAGCAAUAGCCGUUUGCGAGGUGCUGCAUGGUUGUCGUCAGCUCGUGCCGUGAGGUGUCGGCUUAAGUGCCAUAACGAGCGCAACCCUUGCCACUAGUUACUAACAGGUAAAGCUGAGGACUCUGGUGGGACUGCCAGCGUAAGCUGCGAGGAAGGCGGGGAUGACGUCAAAUCAGCACGGCCCUUACAUCCGGGGCGACACACGUGUUACAAUGGCGUGGACAAAGGGAAGCCACCUGGCGACAGGGAGCGAAUCCCCAAACCACGUCUCAGUUCGGAUCGGAGUCUGCAACCCGACUCCGUGAAGCUGGAUUCGCUAGUAAUCGCGCAUCAGCCAUGGCGCGGUGAAUACGUUCCCGGGCCUUGUACACACCGCCCGUCAAGCCAUGGGAGCCGGGGGUACCUGAAGUCCGUAACCGCGAGGAUCGGCCUAGGGUAAAACUGGUGACUGGGGCU
rnacentral:rRNA from 1 species